GCUAUUUUGACAGAAAAUUGUAAUAAAUUUAGAAUUUAUAUAUGUAAAAUAAAAUUUACAAAUAGUA
rnacentral:tRNA from 1 species